rnacentral:rRNA from 1 species
UACGUAGGGACCAAGCGUUGUUCGGAUUUACUGGGCGUAAAGGGCGCGUAGGCGGCAUGGUAAGUCACUUGUGAAAUCUCUGAGCUUAACUCAGAACGGCCAAGUGAUACUGCUGUGCUAGAGUGCAGAAGGGGCAAUCGGAAUUCUUGGUGUAGCGGUGAAAUGCGUAGAUAUCAAGAGGAACACCUGAGGUGAAGACGGGUUGCUGGGCUGACACUGACGCUGAGGCGCGAAAGCCAGGGGAGCAAACGGG